rnacentral:rRNA from 1 species
UUUUCUGGCGCGUUUGCUCCUGGCUCCGGCUGCCCGCUGGCGGCGUGCCUCCUCCCUGCCCGUCGCGCGCCCGGCCGCGCCGCUUGCUUCUCUGCUGUUCGCGGCGGCCGGGUGCGUCCCCCGUGGCUCCCCUCCCUCUCCGCCUGGGCUCCCUUCGGGCCCCCGGCGCUCCUCCCGGCUCUCUUUUGCCCCGCCUGGUUCCCCCGUGCCCGCCGGUCUUGCUGUCCCUUCUCGCUGGCUCCGCGCUGCCUUCGCUCGUUGGUCCGGUCCCGGCUUCCCCCGGCCCGCUGCCUCGCCGCCCUGCGCGGGUGCUCGGCCCCCCUGGCCCUGCGCCCCGGUCCCGCCUCCUCCGGGCGGCCGCCGUCGGGCCUCUUCCGCCCUGGGCGCCCGCCUGCCGGCGCCCCGCCGCGUGCGUGCUGCCGGUCUUCGGCUCGUCCCCCUCUGUUCUUCGGGCCGCCCUCUGUGUCCGUCCCUGUGCCCCUCUUGCCGGUCCCUCCUCCGCCCGCCCCGGCUCCCUCCGUGCCCGCCGCCGCGGUCCUCCGUCGGUGGCCCGCGUUCUCCGGCCUUCUUGGGCGUCCCGCGCGCGUCGGCGGUUUUUUUCCGUCUGCUGUGCCCGCCCCCGGCUCCCCCGUGGCGGGUCCUUGGCCCCUGGCCCCCUUGCGUGCCGCCGCGGCCCGUGGCCUUCCCUGUGUCGCGGUGCCCUGCGCCGCGCUCUGGCGGCCCCCCGUGGCGCCGGCGCCUUUCUGGUCUGUCCCUGCCGCUGCUGUGCGCCCGCGUGGGCUCCCCCGGCUUCGCUCCCCUGGUCGUCCCCGCCGUCCCCGCUGCGUGCUCCGUGUUCGGGGGUUUCCGCCCCUUCGUGCUGCCGCUCCCGCCUUCCGCCCUCCGCCUGGGGCGUCCGCCCGCCCGGUUGCCCCUCCCCGGCCUUGCCGGGGCCCCGCCCCCGCGGUGGCGCCUGUGGUUUCCUUCGCCGCCCCGCGCCGCCCCUUCCCCCUCUUGCCCUCCUUUGCCCCCUCUCGCGCUCGCGCCUUCCCCUUCGGGGGCCCCCGUGCCCGGUGGUGCCUGGUUGUCGUCCGCUCGUGUCGUGCGCUGUUGGGUUCCGUCCCGCCCCGCGCGCCCCCCUUCCGCUUCGUUGCCCUCCUUCCGUUGGGCCCUCUCCGUUGCCUGCCGGUGCCCCCCGGCGGCCGGUGGGGCUGCCGUCCCCUCCUCCUGCCCCUUCUGCUUUGGGCUCCCCCCGUGCUCCCCUGGCCCCUCCCCGGGCCGCGCCCCCGCGCGGUCCCGCCCCUCCCCUCCCGUUGUUCUCCGUUCGGCUUGUCGUCUGCCCCUCGCCUCCCUGCCGCUGGCCUCGCUCGUCCUCGUCGCUCCGCCUGCUCCGGUGCCUCCGUUCCCGGGUCUUGUCCCCCCCGCCCGUCCCCCCCGCGCGUUUGUCCCCCCGCCGCCGGUGGCGUCCCCUUUUCGGCGCUCGCCGUCGCCGGUGGGCCCCUGCUUGGGGUGCCGUCGUCCCCCGGUCGCCGUCUCGGCCGGUGCGGCUGGCUCCCCUCCUUUCU